rnacentral:rRNA from 1 species
AACGUAGGACACAAGCGUUAUCCGGAGUUACUGGGCGUAAAGGGCGUGUAGGCGGACCUAUAAGUCUAUUCUGAAAGCUCCUGGCUAAACUGGGAGAGGCGAAUGGAGACUGUAGAUCUAGAGUGAGGAAGAGGAAAGUGGAAUUCCGCGUGUAGUGGUGAAAUGCGUAGAGAUGCGGAGGAACACCAGUGGCGAAGGCGACUCUUUGGCCUGUAACUGACACUGAGGCGCGAAAGCGUGGGGAGCAAACAGG